rnacentral:rRNA from 1 species
UACGAAGGGGGCUAGCGUUGUUCGGAAUUACUGGGCGUAAAGCGCACGUAGGCGGAUAUUUAAGUCAGGGGUGAAAUCCCGGAGCUCAACUCCGGAACUGCCUUUGAUACUGGGUAUCUUGAGUAUGGAAGAGGUAAGUGGAAUUGCGAGUGUAGAGGUGAAAUUCGUAGAUAUUCGCAGGAACACCAGUGGCGAAGGCGGAGCUUACUGGUCCAUUACGUGACGCUGAGGUGCGAAAGCGUGGGAGCAA